CCUACGGGUGGCAGCAGUGGGGGAUAUUGCACAAUGGGGGAAACCCUGAUGCAGCAACGCCGCGUGUGGGAAGAAGGUUUUCGGAUUGUAAACCACUGUUCUUGGUGAAGAUAAUGACGGUAACCAAGGAGAAAGCUCCGGCUAACUACGUGCCAGCAGCCGCGGUAAUACGUAGGGAGCAAGCGUUGUCCGGAUUUACUGGGUGUAAAGGGUGCGGAGGCGGUCUUGCAAGUCAGACGUGAAAACCACAGGCUCAACCUGUGGACUGCGUUUGAAACUGUGGGGCUUGAGUGAAGUAGAGGUAGGCGGAAUUCCCGGUGUAGCGGUGAAAUGCGUAGAGAUCGGGAGGAACACCAGUGGCGAAGGCAGCAUGCCGGCUCCACACUGACGCUGAGGCACGAAAGCGUGGGUAUCGAACAGGAUUAGAUACCCCUGUAGUC
rnacentral:rRNA from 1 species